GACGUAGGGCGCGAGCGUUGUCCGGAUUUAUUGGGCGUAAAGAGCUCGUAGGCGGUGUGUCGCGUCGGCCGUGAAAACCUGCAGCUUAACUGUGGGCGUGCGGUCGAUACGGGCAUCACUGGAGUUUGGCAGGGGAGACUGGAAUUCCUGGUGUAGCGGUGAAAUGCGCAGAUAUCAGGAGGAACACCGGUGGCGAAGGCGGGUCUCUGGGCCGAUACUGACGCUGAGGAGCGAAAGCGUGGGGAGCGAACAGG
rnacentral:rRNA from 1 species